UUAACUGAAACCAAAGAGAGGUAUAUUAUUGUUAAUAAUAAAAUUGAAUAAACAAUUCCUGUUAAA
rnacentral:tRNA from 2 species